CCUACGGGAGGCAGCAGUGGGGAAUAUUGCACAAUGGGGGGAACCCUGAUGCAGCGACGCCGCGUGAGUGAAGAAGUAUUUCGGUAUGUAAAGCUCUAUCAGUAGGGAAGAAAAUGACGGUACCUGACUACGAAGCCACGGCUAACUACGUGCCAGCGGCCGCGGUAAUACGUAGGGGGCAAGCGUUAUCCGGAUUUACUGGGUGUAACGGGAGCGUAGACGGCAGAGCAAGUCUGAAGUGAAAGCCCGCGGCCCAACUGCGGGACUGCGUUUGAAACUGCCCGGCUAGAGUGCUGGAGGGGUAAGCGGAAUUCCUAGUGUAGCGGUGAAAUGCGUAGAUAUUAGGAGGAACACCAGUGGCGAAGGCGGCUUACCGGCGCGCAACUGACGCUCAUGCACGAAAGCGUGGGUAUCGAACAGGAUUAGAUACCCGAGUAGUC
rnacentral:rRNA from 1 species